UACGUAGGGGGCGAGCGUUGUUCGGAUUCACUGGGCGUAAAGGGUGCGUAGGUGGCUUGAAAAGUUUGAUGUGAAAGCUCAGGGCUUAACCCUGAAAUGGCAUUGAAUACUGUCGGGCUGGAGGUUUGGAGGGGGGACUGGAAUUCUUGGUGUAGCAGUGAAAUGCGUAGAUAUCAAGAGGAACACCAGUGGCGAAGGCGAGUCCCUGGACAACACCUGACACUGAGGCACGAAAGCUAGGGGAGCAAACAGG
rnacentral:rRNA from 1 species